UGUGGGAGCGGGCUUGCUCGCGAUGCAAGCGCUGCGGUCGGCCAGGUAAACCGCAUUGAUGCCAUCGCGAGCAAGCCCGCUCCCACA
rnacentral:misc_RNA from 1 species